UGCAAAGCUGAGGCUAAUUAGCCUCACAGCCCUAAAGAAUGCAGGCUAGUCUCAUGAGAGAAAGCCAGUCAGUGAAGGUAUUCUGUGUUUAUGCUGGUGAAACUGGGCUCCUUGAGUUUCAAUAGCAGCAGCCGCCACUGAGACCAAGAGGAGCUGAAUACUCUUGAAUAGCUGGUUGUAUUGCUCAAAAAAUAACCUGGUCAGAGUCAGACCCCAUGGACCUCAUCUGUAGAGGUAUAUUGACAUCAUCAUCAAGAUCCUCUCUGCUGGAACAUGCUUUGAUACUAAGGGAUCUUUGAACAAGCUGCAAGGAAGGUUGCUGGAGAUAUUCAAGGUGAGACUUGAAAAACCCAUUGAUCAUGGAUAGUUUCGGAAGCAUGAAAUCAAUUCCACCGUGAUUCAAGAAAAUGGAUAGGUGAACUAAGUGACCCAUGAGAAGACGGUCUCUUCAAAUCUAUGUCACCAAUCAUACUGUUUGUUUAACUUUUAUUCUUUCACUCAGUUUGGACAGUAAAACUAGACUGGUCAGUUUCAUGUUUGUUUCAAGUUUGUUUCUCCCUCUGUUUCUCCUGUAUUGUUGUUCUUGGAUUUAGAAGACUGGAGAGAAAUGUUUUAAUUAUAACAAAACAGCUGUUUGUUUAUGCAAUGUUUUCAUCGACUUUUAAGAACAAUAAUGAAGCAUGUCUCUCUCCACUUAAAAAUGUCUGUCUGUCUUUUUCUUUAUAUGGCCUUCAUAACCAUAAUAUUUACAUUUUGAACCUCUUUGUAAUUAACAGAAUUUCUUGUGCUUGGAUUUCCUAACUAAUGUAUUGGUUCAAAACAAGGGGGAAAACAGGCUUUAAAACAAUACCAAGAUGCUGAUGUGGGCGAAGAAUAAAAUUUUUUCUAUGAAAAAGCCUGCCCUAUAACAAUGAUUUAGUGAAUUUGUGUGGGAAAAAAUUGAGUCAGCUGAGUACCGUACCUUGGAAUUACAGUCCUGUUUUAAAUGCCAAUCAAUAUUUUCUGUUUGCUACCUUUUGUUUGCUUGUCUGAUACCUGCCAGUAUCUCGGGCUUGGCUUCCGUCCACUCUCCUAUCCUUCCAUAUUAGCGUCACCAAUCUUGGAAUGAAUACUUUGUAAGCAAGUAGACAAAUACAGUGGGGCAAAGAGUACAUGUCGCCAUAGCCAAAUGCUAACGUAAAUCAGCCAAGUGUUAAUAUGUAGCCUUAUCAGAUGACUUCAAAGGUGUCUGAAAUGUUACACAAUGUAAUACACUGUGCACCAACUUAUUUCAGUCCUUGUGUUUGUUC